UUCAUCAAAGACCGAAUGAACUUCAAUCUAAACAUCAUUCUUAAGCUACCGUGAGUUGAGAUAUGCUUGAACUUUUCUACUUUACAAACACUCACAAGGUCAGAGUCAGAGCGCUACGUCAUCAAUGUACUGUUCUUAAAUAGAAGCCGCCCCACAGGAAACGGACCUGGAUGAGUCCCGAAGGUGUACCAAAAAUGAGAUCGAUUUCAUCAUGAACACCAGUAGACAGAUAUUUAAUGAUGUCUCUGUGAUUCAUAGGGUUAAAACUGAAAGUGAUCACCGAAUUGUCAGGGGCACAUCGAGUAUCAAUGUCAAAUUGGAAAGAUCGCGUAUGAUGAAGUCCACUCUCCGGAGGUAAAGAGGUUCUAUGGAUAGUUGUACACCUCGAUAGCCAAUGAGCCUGCAAGCUUGGUGGCAGACCCUAGAGCCAAGCUAACCCGACACUAUACCGAGGAUAUCCCGGACAUCAACCUGUACGAGAUUAGGAUGGCCCUCAAUCAGCUCAACAGCAAGGCACCGGGCGAGGAUGGAAUCACCACAGAGCUUCUGAAAGCGAGCGGGAUACCGGUACUGAAAGUCCUUCAGAAGCUAUUAAAUUGCUCCUUGCUCAAAAGGAAAACCCCAGAGGCAUAGAACAGGGGUGUUGUGUGUGUUUGUUUUUUAAAAAAGGCGACAAAACCUUAUUGAAGAACUACAAGCUCAUAACACUGCUGAGCCAUGUCUAUAAGCUGUUCUCGAGAGUCAUCACGAACCGUCUCGAACGCUGGCUUAAUGACUUUCAGCUUAUCGAACAAGCCGGUUCCCGAAAAGGCUUUAGCACCAUAGAUCACAUAAAUACGCUGCGGCAUAUUAUACAAAAGAUCGAAGAGUAUAAUCGGCCACUAUGCUUAGCGUUUGUGGACUAUGAAAAGGCCUUUGAUUCCAUUGAAACUUGGGUGGUCCUUAGAUCUCUCCAGCGGUGCCGUAUUGACUAUGGCUAUGUCGUGGUUAAGUACUUGUUUAAUAACACCACCAUGUCAAUCCCAGUACAGGGGCAUUGCACGAAGGAAAUCACAUUAAAGAGAGGAGUAAGACAGGGAGAUGUUACAUCUCCGAACUGUUUACUGCUGCCUUAAGAGGAUUCAUUCAAUCUCCUGGAACGGCAAGGACUUUGCAUCAAUAUAAGUGGCGAUUAUAUCACACACCUUCGAUUUGCAAGAGGCCUAUGUUCAGCAGUGGACAGUAGACAGGCUGAGAUGAUGAUGAUGAAUGUAGUAGUACUUUAUAAACAUUUAUUAAGCCAUAGUAAAACGGCUAUAAUGAUGUUUGUCAGAAUAUUGAUAAAUGUUACACAAUUAAAUGACAGGUCCUGAGGCUGUAGUAGAUAAAUUUCUUUACAAAACAAAUCAGAAUUUAUGUCAUUAAGCAAAAUAGGAUCUCUGUUUUUUCUACCAUAUGAAAUUGAAUUUAAACUAUGUAAUAUGUAGUUCAUCUAUUUUGACUUCAAGGUUGGGAACAUUAUAGGCAGAAAGCUGCAAUAAAUAUUAUAAAUGAUUAUGUUCAAAUAUGAGAGAUUAUAAUGGUCACCAGAAGAUGUGGGAUUUGUUUUACCAGUGAAUAAUAUUUAAAGUGAACUUUUCAAUUAAGUUAUCUAUUGAACAAUUUAAUAUUGAUGUUACUGGUAUUUUAUACCAUAUUUUUUAUAAUAAUAAUAUUUGCAGUUCUAGUAACUGAAAGUAUGUGAACACUUAAAUGUUUUCAUCAUAGCAAGAACUGCUUUAUAAUUUAAACACUAAUUAAAUAAAAUAGCUUGUACUAGCUAAUUAUUAAAUAAAAGUAAAGUAGAUAGACAUCUGCAUAAUAUUCUCAAUUUAAUUUUGUUAAAUUAUUCCGCGAUUUGGAAUUCAGCCGAGGUCAAAAACUGUGCUAGUUUAUAUCCAUUUUAAUAAAAUUCCAAGUUAAUUCAAGAUUAAUAAAAUAAUGAUGUUCGUUGUAACCACAACGAUUCUUAAAUGAAUUUAAAUUAAGAAAAUCCUUAUUUAGAGCCAUUACUUAAGUGUAAUUACGAAAAAAGUUAUAACUUUUAAUACAUA